CUCUCCCUUCUUUUCUUCUUCUUUCUUUUUCUUUCUUUUCUCCCCACCUGACGCAGCACUCUUCCUUCUUCUCUUUUCUUUCUUUCUUCUUUCCUCUUCUCUAUUCUUCAUUUCCCUUCCACCCGAGAGAUGCCAAGAGAGAGAGAGAUCGUGAACCUGAGAGGGAGAGAACCCGAGAUGGAGAGAAACACUGAGAGAGAGAGAGAGACCGUGGUGGUGGGAGAUCAAGACCGUGAAAGUAAUGAGCUGAGAUGGACCGAAUCGCAGAGAGAAGAAGAAGAGGAGGGUUCCGGCAAAGAUGAUGGAUUUUGAGAUAAUGUCCCUUUGGCUGCAGGUACUCGGAUCGUAGUUGAUGGGGUUGUAGACGUGCAGUUGAGAUAUUAUGACCGAAGCUCGCCGCGACAGUUAUAAUUGCGGGACCAUGGGCGUCCUCAGUUUUGUAAAUUUUACUAUAGCUUGUGACGCCUGUGUCACUUUGUUUUUGUAUAAAGCCAACUUUGUUAUGUAUUUAUAUUGAGGAAAGACUUAAACAUAUAGAUGGUAAAUGACUCUUGUUAUUAAUUUAUGAUAGAUGUUUAAGAUGUGAUUUCCGCUA